GAUGAACGCUGGCGGCGUGCCUAAUACAUGCAAGUCGAGCGAACGGACGAGAAGCUUGCUUCUCUGAUGUUAGCGGCGGACGGGUGAGUAACACGUGGAUAACCUACCUAUAAGACUGGGAUAACUUCGGGAAACCGGAGCUAAUACCGGAUAAUAUUUUGAACCGCAUGGUUCAAAAGUGAAAGACGGUCUUGCUGUCACUUAUAGAUGGAUCCGCGCUGCAUUAGCUAGUUGGUAAGGUAACGGCUUACCAAGGCAACGAUGCAUAGCCGACCUGAGAGGGUGAUCGGCCACACUGGAACGGAGACGCGGUCCAGACUCCUACGGGAGGCAGCAGUAGGGAAUCUUCCGCAAUGGGCGGAAGCCUGGCGGAGCAACGCCGCGUGAGGGAUGGAGGUCUUCGGAUCGUAAUACUCUGUUAUUAGGGAAGAACAUAUGUGUAAGUAACUGUGCACUUCUUGACGGUACCUAAUCAGAAAGCCACGGCUAACUACGUG
rnacentral:rRNA from 1 species